rnacentral:lncRNA from 1 species
CUCGGUAUGGAAGAGAGGUGGUCUUAAGUUGUCGUACCGUCCUGUGAACCAAUUCCUACAAGACGAGUUCUUAGCACUUAGCACAUACCAUAGAUAACGAUAAUCGUUGUCUACUUAGGGUCUCUGGGUCAACCUAUUCCCGAACUUACAACGCAUAAUCGAACUAGGGAUUAUGCAUUUUACAUACAUUAGCUUAUCUUGAUGCCUUAUCUAGGUUAACUCACUCAUUUUCAUAAAAACUUUGCACAAAACAUGUCCCAAACUCGUUACGCACAUAUACUAAAUCUUUCAUGAAACAUCCUUUAAAAUCAACUUUGAUACAUAGAAAAUAAUUCAACAACUUGAGCUCUUAAGGGGUUGUUUUGCAACAGACACCAAAUCCUCCUCGGAUCUCCAAAUGAGGCUCCAAAAGACAUUCUGGAAACUAGACAUUUCAAGGAUCAUUCUCCAAUUUGAAUCGAAUAAAACAAGUUACAACGAGCAAGAUAUGCCCUCUCGAAGAUGGGUAUUUAACAAGCAAAGAUCUGAAAAUUUCAGAUUUCCAGAUUACAACCAAGUCAGUGGGCUUUCUUUAAAAAUUCAUAUCUCCCAUUACAAAACUCCACUGGGAACCCCAAGGGUCAAUCCGGAAACUAGGGAGAGAGCGUGACACCCUCCAGUUGGAUUUACCCCAAGACGAUUCAUGGUUUAGAAGAUAUGACUGUCUAAAGUUCAGUGCACAAAAAGGGUUCAAGUUUGGCAGAUUCAGAACAUAAAUCGGAAAAGCCACUUUAGGCAUCACCAAAAAUUCUAAAACUGAACAAGUAAGUUCCCAACAUGUCAGUGAAUAUUCAGUAGAAAGAUAGGCUUGAGAAUCAAAGAUUUAAGUCGGCCUUUGCGAGCUCAAAGUCAUAGGUUUGUAAAACCUACUGGAUGGUACAAGGAAUAAGAGCUAGAUUUCAAGAAUUUAUACCGGUUGUUUCCCUUACUCAAAAAUGGUGAGGCCGAAGUCAAAAAGAAGAUACGGGAGUCUAGAGUGACAUAUUCAAGUUUCAAAGGCUUUCACCGAUCGAAACUUGACUUAUGGCCUCCCAAAGAGUAUUUACCAAAAAGUAUUCCAGAUGGGCAGUGAUGUUUUAAAAAUUCAUAAAUAAAUCAUAAGAGCUCCAAAACUUCUGAAAUUUUACCAAAGUUCAGAAAACAUAUGACAGAUGAUACACAAUUAAUUUGGAAAUUUUUGGAGACCGUUUGGAUGGCUGGAAUCGCCUUGCAAAACACUGCCGGAGCAGUGUGCUUAUGGCAGAUUCGCUGCCUUACCUCAUGCACGGUUUUUCACCCAUAACUCUACCAAAAUGAACAUCUAAAAUCAUAAAACAUAUCCUCACACAAUAAAGCACACAUAUGUGUAAAAAUCCAUGGUCUUAAGGUAUUUUCAGUUGAGAAGACAAAAGAAAACUCACCCUCGAAGCACAACCUUCACUAUAACUUUACGCCCUAGUUUUCCCAUGCUCUCCCUUGCUUUGAUACUUCUCUUGGGGCUUCAAGGGAUUCUAUGGAGUGUGAUAAUGGUGGGAGAAGAGUCCUCGGAGUGGGGGAGAUGUGGAGGGACGAA